CCUACGGGAGGCAGCAGUGGGGGAUAUUGCACAAUGGGGGGAACCCUGAUGCAGCGACGCCGCGUGGGUGAAGGAGCGUUUCGGCGCGUAAAGCCCUAUCGGCAGGGAAGAAGGAGGAGGGUACCGGACUAGGAAGCCCCGGCUAACUACGGGCCAGCAGCCGCGGUAAUACGGAGGGGGCAAGCGUUAUCCGGAUUUACUGGGUGUAAAGGGGGCGCAGACGGGAGCGCAAGCCAGGAGUGAAAGCCCGGGGCCCAACCCCGGGACUGCUCUUGGAACUGCGCGGCUGGAGUGCAGGAGGGGCAGGCGGAAUUCCUGGUGUAGCGGUGAAAUGCGUAGAUAUCAGGAGGAACACCGGUGGCGAAGGCGGCCUGCUGGACUGCGACUGACGUUGAGGCCCGAAAGCGUGGGUAGCAAACAGGAUUAGAUACCCCUGUAGUC
rnacentral:rRNA from 1 species